AAAUCUUAAGUACUAUAAUAGAGCUGUACACUCACUUUUUGGACACUUAACAUGAAGUACCUUGUAAUGUUCUGGCUGUGUUUGCCUUGUCUCCCCAACUAGAUUGACAGCUCUCCACAGGUUAUAACAACAGACCCAACCCCUAACACUGAAUCAGCAUGUGGCAUUAGAGUCACAAACUAGAGGUCAGAGACCUCAGAUCUGGUACUGGUUCCACCAUCUACCUUGUGCAUGGGCAACUGUUUCCUCAUCUAUAAAAUGGCUAUACCCCUAACUUCCCUAUCACAUGGGCUGUUGAAAGGGUCUAAUAGGACAGUAUAUACAAAUGGAUUUUGUGAGCUGAAAAUCAGUAUUCUAUGGAAGAUACUGAGAAUGUUCAGUAAAUGCAACAGCUACUUAGAAAGUUCUGUGAUGAUCAGGUUUUUGUUUGUUUGUUUAGAUUCGUUCCUUAUAUUGGGAUUGUGACGAUCCUCAUGAAUGACUAUCCUAAAUUUAAGUAUGCAGUACUAUUUUUGCUGGGUUUAUUUGUGCUGGUCCAUCGUGAGUAAGAAGUCUGCCUUGCUGUUCCUGGAAGAUGCUGUACUUUUUGUUCCUGAAUGUUUGGAGUAGAUAUCAAUCUGUGGUUGGUGGAAUGGAGAACACAUGUUGGCGCUUCUUGGUAGCACUGAUUUGCAUUAGUUUAUGUUUCCACGGCAGAGUACGUGUGGGCGGGUGCAUGUGCACCACAGCGUGCACUUGAGGGGACUUUCAAUCACAGGAUUUCAUAUGUUGUCAUUGUCACACUUUCGCAUUUUUGUACAUCAGUGAAUUUUUUAUAUUAAAAGGUUGAGCCAAAGCCCCCAGUGUUUGUAUUUUGAAGCCAAGCUUCACUUCUAAAGUGCCUACAGAGUCUGUAAAUGAAAAUGCAGCUCUGCACGAGUUUGAAACUGUCAUUCCUCCUUAUAAUGGGAAUGGCAUAUACUGAGGUGGUCGUCGUCUUAACUUUUCAAAAUUUUAAAUAAAAGACUUUGCAUAUCGAAA